CCUACGGGGGGCUGCAGUGGGGAAUAUUGCGCAAUGGGCGAAAGCCUGACGCAGCGACGCCGCGUGAGGGAUGAAGGUCUUCGGAUCGUAAACCUCUGUCAGCAGGGAAGAACGGUCACUGUGCUAAUCAGCAGUGAAUUGACGGUACCUGCAAAGGAAGCACCGGCUAACUCAGUGCCAGCAGCCGCGGUAAUACGGAGGGUGCGAGCGUUAAUCGGAAUUACUGGGCGUAAAGCGGUCGUAGGCGGUAUGUCAAGUCAAGGGUGAAAUCCCCGGGCUCAACGUGGGGACUGCCUUUGAAACUGGCAAACUGGAGUGUGUGAGAGGUAAGUGGAAUUCCAGGUGUAGGAGUGAAAUGCGUAGAUAUCUGGAAGAACAUCAGUGGCGAAGGCAGCUAACUGGCACAUAACUGACGCUGAGGAGCGAAAGCGUGGGUAGCAAACAGGAUUAGAUACCCUGGUAGUC
rnacentral:rRNA from 1 species